rnacentral:rRNA from 1 species
UACAGAGGGUGCAAGCGUUAAUCGGAAUUACUGGGCGUAAAGCGUGCGUAGACGGUCAUGUAAGUCGGGUGUGAAAGCCCCGGGCUCAACCUGGGAAUUGCAUUCGAGACUGCAUGGCUAGGAUGCGGAAGAGGGAAGCGGAAUUUCCGGUGUAGCGGUGAAAUGCGUAGAUAUCAGGAGGAACACCAAUGGCGAAGGCAGCUCGCUGGGACGGUACUGACGCUGAGGCGCGGAAAGCCAGGGGAGGCGAACAGGG